UACGUAGGGGGCUAGCGUUGUCCGGAAUCAUUGGGCGUAAAGCGCGUGUAGGCGGUCCGGUAAGUCCGCUGUGAAAGUCGGGGGCUCAACCCUCGGAUGCCGGUGGAUACUGUCGGGCUUGAGUACGGAAGAGGCGAGUGGAAUUCCUGGUGUAGCGGUGAAAUGCGCAGAUAUCAGGAGGAACACCGGUGGCGAAGGCGGCAUCCUGGACCAACACUGACACUGAUGAGCGAAAGCCAGGGGAGCAAACGGG
rnacentral:rRNA from 1 species